ACCCCUCAACAGAUUCUGUUCAUUUUAUAAUAGUAUUCCCUCCCCUCAACCGCAAAAAGGGAUCAGUAUCGCGGUGAUAUGUACAUUCUAGCUUUGCUGUCUGGAUUUACAGUGAUGUAACUAUGAAGUACUUACGGUGAGUAUCCAGAAACAAAAUGACUUGUGGUAGUUUGCAAUGAUUUGUUGAAGAUGGUAACGACUGAGCAGCUGGCCAAAAUCCGACUCAUCUUACAAGGCUAUUAACCAAGAAACUAAGCUUUUAAGUCAACAUUUUCCCAUUUUAGCUUGAAAGAGCUGCAUGCAAUUGACAUUAUCGUUGUCUCUUAUCUCCAUUCGUUCACCAGCUGUUUCUACCAAAAUAUGCAUAAUGUAUAUCUGCUAGGCCCAUGACCGGGACUGCUCUGCUAGGAUCCAUCUGAAAAUACAUAUUUACAAGCCCUUCAGAUAAUACUGUCAAUCCUUCAGGUUUCAUUUGAAUUUAAAAGUGUGUUUCUGCAUUGUGUUUUGUUCUACCUGAGUUAGUGCAUCAAUCUCAAAAUGCAAGAGGGAUCCCAUAUAUUUUAGGCGUUUUUUUAGCAAUCAUUCAUAUCACUAUCAACACAUGACAGAUAUAUAAGAUUAAUCUAGUUGUUGGAAAAAGGAACUUAAGAGUGAAGGAAAGAAAGAAAGAUCACAGUUCAAAUCUUUUCGGUUUUCACUGGCAUUUCUAUCAAAAUUAACAUUUGUUGUUAAGAAACAAAUAUCAGCACGUGGCUAAGCCGAACCUGUCUGAUUCCAUGAACGCAUAGCUGCGUUUAAAUCCAUAUCAUAGCACCGUAACGCGUCUAAUGUGAAAAGCUGAGAGGCUGAGUGCGUUGGUGGGUUGUGUUGUGACUUGUGAGGCUUCAACUUCCAGUUUUCUUAGUAUCCCUCUCUUGUCUAAAAGUUUUUACCCCCACUAUAUAGUUAAACUUCAUCCGCAGCAAUGAAAAAUGUAUGUUAAAAUGAGAAAAGAAAAGUGACGAGUUAUAUCGUCCAAGUGAUGCACAUUGAAUU
rnacentral:lncRNA from 1 species